rnacentral:rRNA from 1 species
CGUGAGGAACCUGCCUUUCAGAGGGGGACAACAGCUGGAAACGGCUGCUAAUACCGCAUGACGCAUUCGGAUGGCAUCAUCUGAAUGCCAAAGAUUUAUCGCUGAAAGAUGGCCUCGCGUCUGAUUAGAUAGUUGGCGGGGUAACGGCCCACCAAGUCGACGAUCAGUAGCCGGACUGAGAGGUUGACCGGCCACGUUGGGACUGAGAUACGGCCCAG